CCUAUAGAGUCCGCAGCAAAAUCAGGUGAAAAAGACAUAGUAACAAUACUCCUUGAAAAAGGAGCAGAUAUUAAUAAGGGGAAUCCUUUAGCGUCUGCAGUAUGGAGAGGUAACAAAGACAUAGUAACACUACUCCUUGAAAAAGGAGCAGAUAUUAAUAAGGGGGAUGCUUUAGCGUAUGCAGCAUGGAGAGGUAACAAAGACAUAGUAACACUACUCCUUGACAAAGGAGCAGAUAUU